rnacentral:rRNA from 1 species
UACGUAGGUGGCAAGCGUUGUCCGGAAUUAUUGGGCGUAAAGCGCGCGCAGGCGGUCCUUUUAAGUCUGAUGUGAAAGCCCACGGCUCAACCGUGGAGGGUCAUUGGAAACUGGGGGACUUGAGUGCAGGAGAGAAGAGUGGAAUUCCACGUGUAGCGGUGAAAUGCGUAGAGAUGUGGAGGAACACCAGUGGCGAAGGCGACUCUUUGGCCUGUAACUGACGCUGAGGCGCGAAAGCGUGGGGAGCGAACAGG